rnacentral:rRNA from 1 species
AGAGUUUGAUUAUGGCUCAGGAUGAACGCUAGCGAUAGGCCUAACACAUGCAAGUCGAGGGGCAGCACAUGAAGUAGCAAUACGGAUGGUGGCGACCGGCGCACGGGUGAGUAACGCGUAUGCAACCUGCCUACAACAGGGGAAUAACCCGUUGAAAGACGGACUAAUACCCCAUAACACAGGGAUCCCGCAUGGGAAUAUUUGUUAAAGAUUUAUCGGUUGUAGAUGGGCAUGCGUUCCAUUAGCUUGUUGGUGAGGUAACGGCUCACCAAGGCAACGAUGGAUAGGGGAACUGAGAGGUUUAUCCCCCACACUGGUACUGAGACACGGACCAGACUCCUACGGGAGGCAGCAGUGAGGAAUAUUGGUCAAUGGACGCAAGUCUGAACCAGCCACGUCGCGUGAAGGAAGACGGCCCUACGGGUUGUAAACUUCUUUUGUAAGGGAAUAAAGUGUAGUACGUGUACUAUUUUGCAUGUACCUUACGAAUAAGGAUCGGCUAACUCCGUGCCAGCAGCCGCGGUAAUACGGAGGAUCCGAGCGUUAUCCGGAUUUAUUGGGUUUAAAGGGUGCGCAGGCGGGAGAUUAAGUCGGCGGUGAAAUUUUGCAGCUCAACUGUAAAAGUGCCUUCGAAACUGGUUUCCUUGAAUGUGGAUGAAGUAGGCGGAAUUUGUGGUGUAGCGGUGAAAUGCAUAGAUAUCACGAGGAACUCCGAUUGCGCAGGCAGCUUACUAAACCAUAACUGACGCUCAGGCACGAAGGCGUGGGGAUCAAACAGGAUUAGAUACCCUGGUAGUC